UUUUAAUUUUGUAUUUUUUCUAUGUGUUGAAAUGAUUUUGAAUAUUGUUUUUUAUGGCAUUUAUUCUAUGUUAUUAUGUAUUGUUAUGGGUAUGUGGAAAUUGUUAUUGUUACAUUUGAAUCAAAUUGUACAUCUUUGAUGUCUGCAUUUGUUGAUUUUAAUAUGUUAUGUUUUGAAAUGGUUGUGAUUGUUAAGAUAGUAUUGAAUAUGGAUACUGUGAAAUUAUUAAUAUUUGUAGGUGCCAAUAUUCAUGGAUCUAGGAUUGUGUAUACUUGGAUAUUUGGUUUGAAUAUAAGAUGAAUACAAGCCUAUGUGCAAUAAGUAUUUUGUUGAACAGUAAAACCAUUGUUGACCUUAACCAAAAGAUGCAGGAAUAUAAGUGUCCUACGAAUACUAAUGAAUUCUCAGUAUAUCUAUUGUUGAUUUUGUUAUGGCAUUUAUUUAUUGUUAGUUGUUACAUAUUUAAUCAGAGAACUACUUACAUAUUGUGUAGUAUAUAAUAA
rnacentral:lncRNA from 1 species